CGAUUUAUCUUAGCACAUCUAAUUCAAAUGUCCUAUGCUAGUCCAAAGGAAUUUCAGAGGACAUUCUAAUUGAACGUUUCCAAUGCCAGUCCAAUGGAUUAUCAUUGGACAUUCGAUUGUGAUAUGUCUAACAGUAGUUUAAUGUUUAAUCCUACGAUUUAUGUUAGGACACCAUAAUCAAACGUCCAAUGCUACUCCAAGGUAAUUUCAUAGGACAUUCUAAUUGAACGUUUCCAAUGCCAGUCCAAUGGAUUAUCAUUGGACAUUCGAUUGUGAUAUGUCUAACAGUAGUUUAAUGUUUAAUCCUACGAUUUAUGUUAGGACACCAUAAUCAGACGUCCAAUGCUACUCCAAGGUAAUUUCAUAGGACAUUCUAAUUGGACGUAUCUAAUGCCAGUCCAAUAGAUUACCAUUGGACAUUCGAUUGAGAUAUAUUCAACCAUAGUCUAAUGUUUAAUCCUACAGUUUACCUCAGGACACUUUAAUCAGACAUCCAAUGCUAGUCGAAGGAAAAUUUAUAGGACAUUCUAAUUGGACAUAUCCAAUGCCAGUCCAUUGGUUUAUUAUUGGACAUUUGUUUGAGAUAUGUCCAACGAUGGUCGAACGUUUAAUCUUACGAUUUAUCUUAGCACAUCUAAUUCAAAUGUCCUAUGCUAGUCCAAAGGAAUUUCAGAGGAAAGUCUACGUUAAACGUAUCCAAUGCCAGUCCAUUAGUUCAUCAUUGAACAUUCGAUUGGGAUAUAUCCCACGAUUGUAUAAUAUCUUGUACUACGAUAUCUCUUAAGACGUCUAAUUCAGACGUCCAAAGCUAAUCCAAAGGAAUAUCAUAGGACGUUAAAAUUUCAUAUAUCUAAUGCCAGUCCAACUAUUUUCAUUGGACUUUCGACAUAUGCUUCCAUCGAUAUGUCUUACGUUUGUUCAAAUGUCUUUGUUCUGUGAAGAGUGCGUGUGUAGCAGCGUUGGAAAAUGGAAAAAUGGGAAAAAUAUCCGGAAAAAUAGCAAAGUAAGUACAUUAUACACUAAUUAGGAUAUAGUUAAACGAUGUGUAUAAGAAAUUAAGUUGCAAUUUAUAUAAUUGUACGCGAAAAUAGAAAUUUUCUUUUUUACAGGUUACGUGUUUCGACAAGUCCAGGUGAGAGAUUUUUUUCGAAUAAAAGCAGGUAAAAAGAGAAGUAUUUUAAUUAAAGAGCGCUCUUCUGUAAAUAGUAGUAGUAGUAGUAGUAAUAGCAGUAGUAUGUAGUAGAAGUAGUCGGGGUAGUAGUAGUAAAUAUUAUGUAUGUAAUAUUUGACAAAUUUUUCUAUUAUUCCAUUAUUAUUCAUUGAUUUGUCUUUUCAUGCUACAUGUUCCCGGACAACUUCUAUUCUCCGGACUCUCCCAGGCUCCCCAAAAAGAGUGUCCAUGGACAACCCAAUGGAUUGUCAAUGGAUUCGUCCCAUGUGUCCCAUGGACUUUUCUUGUUUUUUUCUUAUAUUCUGUAAUAUUCUUACAGCUACAUGUUCCCGGCGUUCCCGGACAACUAUCUUACGGAUACUCCCACGUUACAAAAGCUCGCCAAAGAGAACUAUCAGCAUUUAUGACGAAGGGAAUGGAGAAAAGAAAAGACCGUGCCUUGGAAAACAGAAGUAGGAGAGCAUCCCGUGUCUUGGAAAACAGAAAUUGCAGAGCAUCCCGUGUCUUGGAAUACAGGAGUUGCAGAACAUCUCAAAGACCCAGGACGUCAGAGUUCAACCGCCGAAGGACAAAGUAUCAUACAUGUAAGAUUUAUAUAUAUAAUUUUUAAAUAAAAAAAUAAAAAAUUAA